rnacentral:rRNA from 1 species
UACAGAGGGGGCAAGCGUUGUCCGGAUUUAUUGGGUUUAAAGGGUGCGUAGGCGGCCUAUUAAGUCAGUGCUGAAAUAUCCCGGCUUAACCGGGAGGGUGGCAUUGAUACUGAUGGGCUUGAGUAGAGUCGAGGUAGGCGGAAUUGACGGUGUAGCGGUGAAAUGCUUAGAUAUCGUCAAGAACACCGAUAGUGUAGACAGUUUACUAGACUCAAACUGACGCUGAGGCACGAAAGUGUGGGGAUCAAACAGGAUUAGAAACCCUCGUAGUCC